GACGGAGGGUGCAAGCGUUGUUCGGAAUCACUGGGCAUAAAGGGCGCGUAGGCGGCUCCAAAAGUCAGGGGUGAAAUCCGGCAGCUUGACUGUCGCAGUGCCUUUGAUACUGUGGAGCUAGAGGGAGGUAGGGGUCUGUGGAACUUCCGGUGGAGCGGUGAAAUGCGCAGAUAUCAGGAAGAACACCCGUGGCGAAGGCGGCUCUCUGGGACGGUACUGACGCUGAGGCGCGAAAGCUAGGGGAGCAAACGGG
rnacentral:rRNA from 1 species